rnacentral:rRNA from 1 species
UACGUAGGGUGCAAGCGUUGUCCGGAAUUAUUGGGCGUAAAGAGCUCGUAGGCGGUUUGUCGCGUCGGCUGUGAAAACCUGGGGCUCAACCCCGGGCCUGCAGCCGAUACGGGCAAACUAGAAUUCGGUAGGGGAGACUGGAAUUCCUGGUGUAGCGGUGAAAUGCGCAGAUAUCAGGAGGAACACCGGUGGCGAAGGCGGGUCUCUGGGCCACAACUGACGCUGAGGAGCGAAAGCAUGGGGAGCGAACAGG